GGGGCUUUAGCUCAGCUGGGAGAGCGUGCGACUGAAGAUCGUACGGUCCCGUGUUCGAUCCACGGAAGCCCCA
rnacentral:tRNA from 12 species